rnacentral:rRNA from 1 species
GACGAACGCUGGCGGCGUGCCUAAUACAUGCAAGUCGAGCGGACCCUUCGGGGUUAGCGGCGGACGGGUGAGUAACACGUGGGUAAUCUGCCCAACUGACUGGAAUAACGCCUGGAAACGGGUGCUAAUGCCGGAUAGGCAACUGGUAGGCAUCUACCGGUUGGGAAAGGUGCAACUGCACCGCAGAUGGAGGAGCCCGCGGCGCAUUAGCUAGUUGGUGGGGUAACGGCCUACCAAGGCGACGAUGCGUAGCCGACCUGAGAGGGUGGACGGCCACACUGGGACUGAGACACGGCCCAGACUCCUACGGGAGGCAGCAGUAGGGAAUCUUCCGCAAUGGGCGCAAGCCUGACGGAGCAACGCCGCGUGAGUGAUGAAGGUUUUCGGAUCGUAAAGCUCAGUCACUCGGGAAGAGCGGACGAGGGAGUGGAAAGCCCUCGUCGAGACGGUACCGAGAGAGGAAGCCCCGGCUAACUACGUG